UACGUAGGGUGCAAGCGUUGUCCGGAUUUACUGGGCGUAAAGAGCGCGCAGGUGGUCGUCCAAGUCGCGUGUGAAAGCCCCCGGCUCAACUGGGGAGGGUCACGCGAUACUGGUCGACUCGAAGGCAGGAGAGGGUAGUGGAAUUCCCGGUGUAGUGGUGAAAUGCGUAGAUAUCGGGAGGAAUACCUAUGGCGAAAGCAGGCUACUGGACCGUCACUGACUCUGAUCUGCGAAAGCUAGGGGAGCAAACAGG
rnacentral:rRNA from 1 species